rnacentral:rRNA from 1 species
GAUGAACGCUAGCUACAGGCUUAACACAUGCAAGUCGAGGGGCAGCAUGAACUUAGCUUGCUAAGUUUGAUGGCGACCGGCGCACGGGUGAGUAACACGUAUCCAACCUGCCGAUGACUCGGGGAUAGCCUUUCGAAAGAAAGAUUAAUACCCGAUGGCAUAGUUCUUCCGCAUGGUAGAACUAUUAAAGAAUUUCGGUCAUCGAUGGGGAUGCGUUCCAUUAGGUUGUUGGCGGGGUAACGGCCCACCAAGCCUUCGAUGGAUAGGGGUUCUGAGAGGAAGGUCCCCCCACAUUGGAACUGAGACACGGUCCAAACUCCUACGGGAGGCAGCAGUGAGGAAUAUUGGUCAAUGGACGAGAGUCUGAACCAGCCAAGUAGCGUGAAGGAUGACUGCCCUAUGGGUUGUAAACUUCUUUUAUACGGGAAUAAAGUGAGGCACGUGUGCCUUUUGUAUGUACCGUAUGAAUAAGGAU